rnacentral:sRNA from 1 species
UUGCUAUCUGCGAUAUAAAAGAUUCGAACCUGCCGCAGGUUCGGGUCUCACGAAGUGAGACAACGGAGCCGCUUGCGGCGACGGCCCGAAGGGCGAGCGAAGCGAGUCAUCCUGCACGACCCACCA